UACGUAGGUGGCAAGCGUUGUCCGGAUUUAUUGGGUUUAAAGGGUGCGUAGGCGGCUUUGUAAGUCAGUGGUGGAAUAUGUCAGCUUAACUGAGAGGGUGCCAUUGAUACUGCAGAGCUUGAGUACAGAUGAGGUAGGCGGAAUUGACGGUGUAGCGGUGAAAUGCGUAGAUAGCGUGAAGAACACCGAUAGCGAAGGCAGCUUACUAGGCUGUAACUGACGCUGAGGCACGAAAGUGUGGGGAUCAAACAGG
rnacentral:rRNA from 1 species